CAAAUACUCCCUCUGUCCGGAAAUACUUGUCAUCAAAAUGGAUAAAAGGGAAUGUAUCUAGAUGUAUUUUAGUUUUAGAUACAUCUCUUUUUAUCCAUUUUGAUGACAAGUAUUUUCGGACGGAGGGAGUAUUUA
rnacentral:pre_miRNA from 1 species